rnacentral:lncRNA from 1 species
CGGGCGGGGGCGGAAGCAGGACCCGUCCUGCUCCUUAUGGCGACGUCGUGGAUGGGAGACUGAACAGAUCAGAUGACAACUAUCAAGCUCAGAGAAUAAAAUACCAAAAAUAUUGUUUCGUAUAGAAGACCAUGAUAACUGUGAUCAAGAUAUUAUUGCAUCACUUUUUUUUCUGAUACAAUUUUUCUGCGGUCAAAUAGCUUUUUUAAAUUGUGCUGCAGCUUGCAUUAAAUGUGCACACAGAGUGAGGAUCAGAAUAAAUUGUGAAGCAGUGCAGCAUUCCUUGUGAAGAAAACUUCUGAACAGUGGCAAACCAGGCGUUUUCCCCAGAGGCUGCUUUCCCU